rnacentral:rRNA from 1 species
CAAUAGCGUAUAUUAAAGUUGUUGCAGUUAAAAAGCUCGUAGUUGGAUUUCGGGGCAGCCUGGCUGGUCCGCCGCAAGGCGAGUACUGGUCAGCCGCCCUUCCUCUCGAAAGCCCCGACUGCUCUUUAUUGCAGUGGUCGGGUAGUUCGGGACGUUUACUUUGAAAAAAUUAGAGUGUUCAAGGCAGGCCUACGCCUGAAUACAUUAGCAUGGAAUAAUGGAAGAGGACCUCGGUCCUAUUUUGUUGGUUUCCAGGACCGAAGUAAUGAUUAAGAGGGACAGUUGGGGGCAUUCGUAUUUAAUUGUCAGAGGUGAAAUUCUCGGAUUUAUGAAAGGCGAACAACUGCGAAAGCAUUUGCCAAGGAUGUUUUCAUUAA